CAGACCUUUUGUUCUUGAACAUUAUAAAGAGGCAAUUGGGAAAUCUUACCAGAGGAUUACGCUGUACAUCUGCCUUCUUCAGGAUUUGAGUUAUGGAGAUGACUCAUCUUCAGAAUCCGAUGAUUGUGAAGCAUUUGGUCGGCUUCCAAUGAAAAUGUCCCCAAAACAAUCUCUGCCAACAACAUCCAGGGCAUCUGGUGGGCAAGCCAAUGGAGCAGGAGCAGGACCCAAAAAGACCAC